rnacentral:rRNA from 1 species
UACGUAGGGUGCGAGCGUUGUCCGGAAUUAUUGGGCGUAAAGAGCUUGUAGGCGGUUUGUCGCGUCUGCUGUGAAAUCUCAAGGCUCAACCUUGAGCUUGCAGUGGGUACGGGCAGACUAGAGUGUGGUAGGGGAGACUGGAAUUCCUGGUGUAGCGGUGAAAUGCGCAGAUAUCAGGAAGAACACCAAUGGCGAAGGCAGCUCUCUGGGACGGUACUGGACGCUGAGACGCGAAAGCCGUGGGAGCGAACAGG